rnacentral:rRNA from 1 species
AUCGAACGCUGGCGGCAGGCUUAACACAUGCAAGUCGAGCGGGGGAAGGUAGCUUGCUACUGGACCUAGCGGCGGACGGGUGAGUAAUGCUUAGGAAUCUGCCUAUUAGUGGGGGACAACAUCUCGAAAGGGAUGCUAAUACCGCAUACGUCCUACGGGAGAAAGCAGGGGAUCUUCGGACCUUGCGCUAAUAGAUGAGGCUAAGUCGGAUUAGCUAGUUGGUGGGGUAAAGGCCUACCAAGGCGACGAUCUGUAGCGGGUCUGAGAGGAUGAUCCGCCACACUGGGACUGAGACACGGCCCAGACUCCUACGGGAGGCAGCAGUGGGGAAUAUUGGACAAUGGGGGGAACCCUGAUCCAGCCAUGCCGCGUGUGUGAAGAAGGCCUUAUGGUUGUAAAGCACUUUAAGCGAGGAGGAGGCUACUCUAGUUAAUACCUAGGGAUAGUGGACGUUACUCGCAGAAUAAGCACCGGCCAACUCUGUACCAGCAGCCGCGGUAA